rnacentral:tRNA from 1 species
GCGGGGGUAGCUCAGUCCGGCAGAGCUCCUGCCUUCCAAGCAGGUUGUCGCGGGUUCAAAUCCCGUCCCCCGCUCCA